CCAGAGCAGAACAACCCCUUGCUCCUCCCUCUUAGAGCUCCGCCUCCAGCUCUAGCCCCUCCCCAAGCAGGAGCUCCGCCCCCAUCCCUGGCCGCACCCGUUUCCCCUCCCCGAGCUCUAGCCGCGCCCCGUGGUCGAGGGAGAGAGGGGCAGUCCAGCAGCUGUGGAGGGAGAGCCAGUUUCCUGAGGUCCAUGACAGCCCUCCUGGACCCUGCAGAGCUGGAGGAGAGAGAGAGGAGGAGAAGCAAACAGCAGGAUCAACUGGUGAGGAGGAGGAGGAGAGAGAGGGAUGGAGGAGGAGAUAGAGGGAUGGAGGAGAGAGAGAGGGAUGGAGGAGAGAGAGAGGGAUGGAGGAGAGAGAGGAGGAGAAGCAAACAGCUGGAUCAACUGGUGAGGAGGAGGAGGAGAGAGAGGGAUGGAGGAGGAGGAGGAGAGAGAGGGAUGGAGGAGAGAGAGAGGGAUGGAGGAGAGAGAGAGGGAUGGAGGAGAGAGAGGAGGAGAAGCAAACAGCAGGAUCAACUGGUGAGGAGGAGGAGGAGGAGAGGGAUGGAGGAGGAGGAGGAGGAGAGAGAGGGAUGGAGGAGAGAGAGAGGGAUGGAGGAGAGAGAGAGGGAUGGAGGAGAGAGAGGAGGAGAAGCAAACAGCAGGAUCAACUGGUGAGGAGGAGGAGAAGAAGAAUGAGAGAGAGAGAGAGAGAGAGAGAGAGAGAGAGAGAGAGAGAGAGAGAGAGAGAGAGAGAGAGAGAGAGAGAGAGAGAGAGAGAGAGAGAGAGAGAGAGAGAGAGAGAGAGAGAGAUGGAUGAGGAGGGUCAUCAGGAGGUGCUGAUGUUGUGAUGUGUGAUUUGUUGUACCAGCGGGCGAUCGAGGCUCAGCUAGCAGAACAACGUGAGCAGAGAGAGGAGGAGAAGAGGAGGGGGGAGGAGGAGAAGAGGAGAGAAGAGGAGGCAGAGGAGCAGAGGAAGAUGAAGGAGCAGGCGGAGAAGAACAUCUUGCACCUCCCUCUGAAAGCUCCGCCCAAAGCUCUAACCCCUCCCCAAUCUCUAGCUCCUCCCCCAUCACCAGCCACACCAGGGUCCCCUCCCCGAGCUCCAGCCACGCCCCCUGGUCCAGGGAGGGGGGAGGAGCCGAGCAGCUGUGGAGAGAGAGCUAGUUUCCUGAGGUCCAUGACAGCCCUCCUGGACCCUGCAGAGAUGGAGGAGAGAGAGAGGAGGAGAAGCAAACAGCAGGAUCAACUGCGGGCGAUCGAGGCUCAGCUAGCAGAACAACGUGAGCAGAGAGAGGGGGAGAAGAGGAGGGAGGAGGAGACGGAGGAGAAGAGGAAGGAGCAGGUGGAGCAGAUCCCACAGCAGCAGGAGGUUCUACUGAGUAGUGAGAAGCCAAUCAGAGAGCUCCCAAGAUCGCAUGGCCAUGUAGUGCUGAAGCAACACAGUGUCAGCAUCAGAGGACCUAAAGGAGGUCAGGGAGCUAAGGGAGAGGAACCAACACGGAAUAAGAAGCGAGGAAAAGGAGAUCUGUACCAGGAGUUGGCGAGGCCCGAGAGAACAGACACUCCAAGGGGGCUUCCUGCUGUCAGACCACCGGGCCCCUCCUCCCAUCAUCCCGAGCAGGACUACUUUCCCUACGUCCGAACAGCUGACAUCAUCCAUCUUGAACCACUGGAUCGCAACGGCACAGCCACCCCACAUCCUACCAACACACACAGUCAGAAAGAAAUACUACUGAGUCUUGCUGCUCUACGGAAGGGUUUGUUGCAGAAGCAGAAAGAGAUGGAGUCAAGUGGGAGGCUCCUCCCCCCAGUGACAUCACAACGCAGCUGA
rnacentral:lncRNA from 1 species